rnacentral:rRNA from 1 species
UACAGAGGUCUCAAGCGUUGUUCGGAUUCAUUGGGCGUAAAGGGUGUGUAGGUGGCGCGCUAAGUCGGGUGUGAAAUUUCGGAGCUUAACUCCGAAACUGCAUUCGAUACUGCGGUGCUUGAGGACUGGAGAGGAGACUGGAAUUCAUGGUGUAGCAGUGAAAUGCGUAGAGAUCAUGAGGAAGACCAGUGGCGAAGGCGGGUCUCUGGACAGUUCCUGACGCUGAGGCACGAAGGUCAGGGGAGCAAACGGG